AUGGGAUUAAAAAGCCUCCCACUAUAUAUAUCCCAAGGAACAGAUGGAUUGUCAAUGAAGGGUGAACUGUAUCAAGCACAGGAACUGGGAACUAAAUCAAGUCUGAGCCUUGAUCAACUACUUGCUUUGGAUUUCUUGCAAUAUGAGACAUAUCCUUUGAAGGUCCAAGGAAAUGUGGGGAACUCUGCCUUUCAAAAGCUUGGGCAAGAGCUGAUGGGAACCUUUGUGUCAUGCUGCACAAUGCUGAUUCUUCCUCUGCACACAGUGAAUAAAGUAAAUAUUUGCUAUCA
rnacentral:lncRNA from 1 species